AGAGAGUUGAGUUCAUCAAUGGAACUGGACUUGAGGAAAGAGAGUAGCUGAUUCUGAGUAGGUCCAUUAGAGCCAGCAGCAAUAAGGCCAAGAACUAUUUGAAUUGAAAGAGGAGAGAGCACCAGGUUGGUAUCGCCUUUAACCGCGUUGGAGAAAACAUGCUUAGCAAGCAUGAAAGAAACAUCAGUCUGGCUGGUGAUUGACUCUCGAAGAUCCAUAUUUGCACGCGAAAACGAAGAAGAAGAAGGAGGAUAGUGAGU
rnacentral:misc_RNA from 1 species